UACGUAGGGUGCAAGCGUUAAUCGGAAUUACUGGGCGUAAAGCGUGCGCAGGCGGUUUUGUAAGUCUGAUGUGAAAUCCCCGGGCUCAACCUGGGAAUUGCAUUGGAGACUGCAAGGCUAGAAUCUGGCAGAGGGGGGUAGAAUUCCACGUGUAGCAGUGAAAUGCGUAGAGAUGUGGAGGAACACCGAUGGCGAAGGCAGCCCCCUGGGUCCAAGAUUGACGCUCAUGCACGA
rnacentral:rRNA from 1 species